AAAGCAUGGCAAAAUGAGGAAACCACUGACAGGUGAAGAAUCUGCACAACGGAAAACCACCUUGACCAUCUCAUGACUUUAUACAAGAAUCGGAGACAUCCAAGGCCAUUCCAUUUCUAGAUCACACUUAUCCCUCAAUCAAGUCAGUGACUGGAUCAUCUCCUAAGGUUUCACCUGCUUUGCAUCAGUGAGUUGGAGUAUGGAUCAGGUACUGUGCUUAGCAUUGGAAAAUGGGAUGACAAUGAACAGAGUAACACGAGUAGAUUUCUGAAAAAGGAUGAACUUACUGGAAACAGAUAUUGUGUGCCUGAAAUAGACCCAAAAGGAUAUAAAUGUCUGAACUUAGUCUGGGCUGGUGAUAUAGAUUUGGAAUGCAUCAACAUGCAGAUGGUAAUCCUGGCAUGCGAGUAGAUGAGAUCAUCCAGGGAGAUGGCCUAUAAUGAGAGCCUAUAACAUGUCAGGACUCAAACACCUCUUACUGCCUCCUCACUUUGAAACUAAAUGCCAUACUGUGUGCACUGCUCCCCACUGCCUUCCCUCCUGCCUCACCAGUUGAUCCCUAUACCUCCUUCACAGUGAGCUCCAGGAGGCCUCUAACUUACACUGACAGGAUCACAGAAUGUGAAUUUUGAACAGAUCUGAAAAAUUACUAAGUUCAACUCCACAGAGGUUCCUAGGAGAAUGUUAACAGUCCAGACCUUUUUUACUACAUCUCAGAAACAUCAAUAUGGAUGACUGGCAUAUAAAAUCCUACUUAACCUUUACAUAACUGCAAUACCAGGAAACAAAUAUGUCAAUAAAAGGAAACAUCAUCCAAUUUUUCUGA